rnacentral:rRNA from 1 species
GAGCUCGUAGGCGGUUUGUCGCGUCUGCUGUGAAAUCUGGGGGCUCAACCCCCAGCCUGCAGUGGGUACGGGCAGACUAGAGUGCGGUAGGGGAGAUUGGAAUUCCUGGUGUAGCGGUGGAAUGCGCAGAUAUCAGGAGGAACACCGAUGGCGAAGGCAGAUCUCUGGGCCGUAACUGACGCUGAGGAGCGAAAGCAUGGGGAGCGAACAGGAUUAGAUACCCUGGUAGUCCAUGCCGUAAACGUUGGGAACUAGAUGUGGGGGCCAUUCCACGGUCUCCGUGUCGCAGCUAACGCAUUAAGUUCCCCGCCUGGGGAGUACGGCCGCAAGGCUAAAACUCAAAGGAAUUGACGGGGGCCCGCACAAGCGGCGGAGCAUGCGGAUUAAUUCGAUGCAACGCGAAGAACCUUACCAAGGCUUGACAUAUACCGGAAACGUCCAGAGAUGGUCGCCCCGCAAGGUCGGUAUACAGGUGGUGCAUGGUUGUCGUCAGCUCGUGUCGUGAGAUGUUGGGUUAAGUCCCGCAACGAGCGCAACCCUCGUUCUAUGUUGCCAGCACGUUAUGGUGGGAACUCAUAGGAGACUGCCGGGGUCAACUCGGAGGAAGGUGGGGAUGACGUCAAAUCAUCAUGCCCCUUAUGUCUUGGGCUUCACGCAUGCUACAAUGGCCGGUACAAAGGGCUGCGAUACCGUAAGGUGGAGCGAAUCCCAAAAAGCCGGUCUCAGUUCGGAUUGAGGUCUGCAACUCGACCUCAUGAAGUCGGAGUCGCUAGUAAUCGCAGAUCAGCAACGCUGCGGUGAAUACGUUCCCGGGCCUUGUACACACCGCCCGUCAAGUCAUGAAAGUCGGUAACACCCGAAGCCAGUGGCCUAACCCUUGUGGAUGGAGCUGUCGAAGGUGGGAUCGGUGAUUAGGACGAAGUCGUA